AUGCUUGUAUUGGACAAUACUGAGAUUGGAAUAGAAUAUUUUUGGGUCGAAGUGUGGGCUGUCCAGAUUGUUAUUUGGUUGUUUGAGUUGGAUUAAACUUGCUGAAUUAUGAUCUAGAAAUUGGGUCUUAGGUUGUCUAAGACCAAUUUUGUGUUGUUGGACUUUAAUAUUUAGUUUAUAUUUUUUUUAUGAAUAGGUGACGAGACAGAUAGAGACCGUAUUCAAGUCAUAGAUAAUGCGCUACAGGAGUCAGAUGAUGUAGAGAGUUCAAAUGAGGACCUAGAUUAGAUUGUUGUUUGUGUUUAAGCUAAGGAGAUGUUGGUAGAAGAAGGACUUCUGGUGUUCUUAGUUUUAAUGUCUUUGAGUUUUAUUAAUAUCUUGAGUUUCAGUAAGAUUUAUGAAAUUAUUGGUUGGGUUGUUAUGACUACCGAGAGAUAACGGACUCCUUAGUUUAUUUUAGCUGCAGUAAUGACUUUGUGAAGUUUUCAAGGUGGUUAUUUAGAACUCUUGAUAUUGAGUUUUGCUAUUAAAGAUUUGAGUUUUAUUU